UGGGGAAUUUUUGGACAAUGGGCGAAAGCCUGAUCCAGCAAUGCCGCGUGUGUGAAGAAGGCCUUCGGGUUGUAAAGCACUUUUGUCCGGAAAGAAAUCCUUGGCUCUAAUACAGUCGGGGGAUGACGGUACCGGAAGAAUAAGCACCGGCUAACUACGUGCCAGCAGCCGCGGUAAUACGUAUGGUGCAAGCGUUAAUCGGAAUUACUGGGCGUAAAGCGUGCGCAGGCGGUUUGCUAAGACCGAUGUGAAAUCCCCGGGCUCAACCUGGGAACUGCAUUGGUGACUGGCAGGCUAGAGUAUGGCAGAGGGGGGUAGAAUUCCACGUGUAGCAGUGAAAUGCGUAGAGAUGUGGAGGAAUACCGAUGGCGAAGGCAGCCCCCUGGGCAAUACUGACGCUCAUGCACGAAAGCGUGGGGAGCAAACAGGACUAGAUACCCUGGUAGUCCACGCCCUAAACGAUGUCAACUAGGUUGUUGGGGAUUCAUUUCCUUAGUAACGUAGCUAACGCGUGAAGUUGACCGCCUGGGGAGUACGGUCGCAAGAUUAAAACUUAAAGGAAUUG
rnacentral:rRNA from 1 species